UCAUAAUGGUGUAGGAGUAUGGAGGAAUCUUAGAAAAUGGUGUGUGCCUUUUGCACAUGAGAGAAAGGCUAUUAAUCUGUGGCCACAGGGCAGGCUAGGGCAGUUUUUAAGAUAUAGCUUCAAAUUCUUUGAAUCUGGGUGGACUUUGUGAUUACUUGAACAGAACAAGAUGAAGGUGAUGCAAUCUGGUAUCUAUCGCUUAUUAUAAAAGGGUACACCAUCAAAAAGAGAGGAAACAAUUAUUACAUUCUUCACUCACCUGCUUCAACUGAUGACCCAGGGUGAGGUUAGAUCAAUGCCAAGAGCCCCACCUCCUAAAGUGGAGGCGAGACGGUCUGUGCAGGACAGGCAACAGGCUGUAAAAGAAUAUUUUUACAAUGAACUCUGCUCCCUUGGGCCUCACAGAGGGGCUGGAAGAACGGCACACAGCCUGUCCUCUGGAAACGUUCCUGCCUAUAUAGAAAGUGACAGGUGUUUACUCAAGAGAAAGUAGACAAUGAAAUGAAGCCCAAAGCCAAAGGUCCUAUCCCCACCCACCUCCUCUGCGCUCUUAAUCUGCUCCUCAGAGGUGUGGGUGGGGUCUGUCGGAUAUUUUCUACAUCUGUGUUUUUAUACUGUGCUUUAAAAACCCAAAUCAGAAAUAAGCUCACCUCCUACUGCUUGUUUUGCAAUGUGAUUAUCUCCCUCAGCAAUAAAUGGCUAAGGCGCCUUUUGGAGAUCUAGGCACUGAGCGGCUCCCCACUUUCUGCACUGGCUGAAGAGCCCCUUGCAUGCAGAAUUUAUUUUUUUGCUUUUCUAAAGGCAUCAGGAGCCUGGGGCACGGUUGCCUUUAUUAGAAAAGGCAGACCUUAAAGCCAUCAAUGCAAUUUGUAAGGGGAUCGAAGCUUG